rnacentral:lncRNA from 1 species
CCUAGCUUGAGGGCAAUGACACAGCUCCUGACCUCAUGACCUCAUCCAGGCUGAUAGGAAAGACAGCCCCUGAUCUGCUGGUCAGAGGGAGGAGACAUUGUGUCAGAUCUGCUGGUCAGAUGGAGGAGACGUAGUGACAGAUCUGCUGGUCAGAAGGAGGAGACACAGCACCAGAUCUGCUGGUCAGAGGGAGGAGACAUAGUGCCGGGUCUGCUGGUCAGAGGGAGAAGGCAUAGCACUGGGCCCGCUGGUCAGAAGGAGGAGAUGUAGUGCCGGGUCUGCUGGUCAGAGGGAGGAGACAUAGUGCCCUGUCUGCUGGUCAGAGGGAGGAGACAUAGUGCCAGGUCUGCUGAUCAGAGGGAGGAGACAUAGUGCCAGGUCUGCUGAUCAGAUGGAGGAGACAUAGUGCCAGGUCUGCUGGUCAGAGGGAGGAGACAUAGUGCCCUGUCUGCUGGUCAGAGAGAAAAGACAUAAUGCCCCAUCUGCUGGUCAGAGGGAGAAGACAUAGCACUGGGCCUGCUGGUCAGAAGGAGGAGAUGUAGUGCUGGGUCUGCUGGUCAGAGGGAGGAGACAUAGCGCCAGGUCUGCAGGUCAGAGAGAGGAGACAUAGCACUGUGUCUUUCGGUCAGAGGGAGGAGACAUAGUGCCGGGUCUGCUUGUCAGAUGGAGGAGACAUAGCACCAGGUCUGCAGGUCAGAGAGAGGAGACAUAGCACUGUGUCUUUUGGUCAGAGGGAGGAGACAUAGUGCCAGGUCUGCUUGUCAGAUGGAGGAGACAUAAUGCUGGGUCUGCUUGUCAGAGGGAGGAGACAUAGCACCAGAUCUGCUGGUCAGAUGGAGGAGACAUAGUGCUGGAUCUGUUAGUCAGAGGGAGGAGACAGUGCUGGGUCUGCUGGUCAGUGGGAGGAGACAUAGUGCUGGGUCUGCUGGUCACAGGGAGGAGACAUAGUGCUGGAUCUGCUGGUCAGAUGGAGGAGACAUCACACUGGAUCUGCUGGUCAGAUGGAGGAGAUAUAGCACCAGAUCUGUUGGAUCAAUGUCGGAUUCAUCUGACUGUGACACCUGGCACAAGGCCUGACCUUUUAGGAAGUUACUGAAUGAACGAGCAACUCCUGUAGCUUCGGCUCCCAAUAAUACUGAGAACGGCGGGCUGGGAGGGCAUCGCUCUAAGCCCACAGGAG